rnacentral:rRNA from 1 species
GACGAACGCUGGCGGCGUGCUUAACACAUGCAAGUCGAACGAUGAAGUUCCUUCGGGAAUGGAUUAGUGGCGAACGGGUGAGAAACACGUGAGAAACCGGCCUUUCAUUUGGGGAUAAGUCCGGGAAACCGGUGCUAACACCGGAUACUCCGUGUCGGCGGCAUCGCUGAGCCGGCGAAAAAUUAUGAUGAAAGAUGGUCUCGCGGCCUGUCAGCUAGCUGGUGAGGUAAUGGCUCAGCAAGGCGACGACGGGUAGCCGGCCUGAGAGGGCGGCCGGCCACACUGGGACGGAGACACGGCCCAGACUCCUACGGGAGGCAGCAGUGGGGAAUAUUGGGCAAUGGGAGCAAGCCUGACCCAGCGACGCCGCGUGAGGGAUGAAGGCCUUCGGGUUGUAAACCUCUUUCAGUAGGGAAGAAGCGAAAGUGACGGUACCUAAAGAAGAAGCACCGGCUAACUAUGUGCCAGCCGCCGCGGUAA